rnacentral:lncRNA from 1 species
CCUACCUUGCCACUGCCUACUCUUUGCCAUCAAUGGCCUCAGCUGACGUGUUCAUCUCUGGAACCCGCGGAAUUGCCCUCCCCUCCCUAUAAAAAGCCACCCAAGGCCCUCGAACAACACCAUCUCACUCUCCCUCUCCCUCACUGACCCACCCGUUGCAGCAACACGACCAAAGGAGGUCAUCUUCUCUGAUUCUGGCAACUACUGCCGUCGCCACUGUUCGGAUGGUUCCGACGCCGUUCGGCCCUCCCUCUCACAAGUUUCUCCAUCACUAGCCUCCUUGAGCACCCAUUGAUCCAUCCCCGCACUCGAUUUUGCCCGGGAGCCACCAUAGGCAAAACGCCCAAUUCGUCUCCGCCGGAGCUCCUCGGGUGAGCUCGCCGCCGGCGACUCCCUCCACUCCAGCGACCAAGGAGGGUACCCACGUGUUCGCCUCAACCUCCUGAGCUCGUAGGCGGCCUCGGUUUUCCAAACGGUGCCGCCGUUCGCCGGCGCCGACCACCGGAGCUCCGCCUCUGUUCAGCCGGAUAAGGAGGCAAGCGUGUGGACUGGUCAAACCUGACCAGUGGGCCCGGCGGGCCCACUGUCAGUGACACAACACCGCGCCACCUCGUCUUAAGUGGAGACGAGUUCCGUUGAAGUUUCUUUCCCGUGGGGAAAGCGUAUUAUGGCGAGGGCGCCUUCGACGUCGCAGCCCUCCCGCGCGGUCGAGCGAUUGGGCUUGGCCUAGUACCGCCAGGCAGCUAUACCGCACCUAGGGCGCGUUUCUGCUCAGCCCAUCAUAGUAAUAUUUGUUCUCUUUUUCUUUUCCAGAAGAUUUCAAAUAAAUCCACAGCAUCCAUUUCACAUCCAAAUCUGAUGAUUCAAAUUUCUGUCUACUCCUAAAAUCAUGCUCUAUUUAUCCAGAUAGGGUGAACAUUUUUCCUAGUCCUGGUUUUUGCUGGAUCUACUAAAUAGUCCAUUUUCCUUUAAUAUUCCAUCUUAGUAAAUCCAUAGGAAAAUCAUGUAAACUUCAAAUGACUUGAUUCUUUUUCUCUUAUCUCUCAAAUUUCAUCUAGUUUAUUUUAGUAUUUAUUUCACAAAUUUCCAAACAACUUUUAUGUACUAUUUUGGAAUUAUGUGGUAAUUAAAAUAUUUUGAAAAUAGGAAACACAGGGGAGAUAUGAUUUUCAAGUUUUAGAGUGCACCCAACAUCUCUGCAUGCUCAAGGCAAGCAUCUUGAACACAUGAUAUGGUGAAUGCAUAGUGUUUGUUUGCAUGUAGAAUUGAAUUAUGAAUAUAUUCAACUCGUGUGAAAUUUGCAUAGUAUUGCUCAUACAUGCACGAUUUCCCUUUGAUGGUAUUUUAUCUUCAUUUAAGCAUGAAGUAUGAGUGAGUACGGCUAUUUUCAUGUGCCAUAUGUGCCUGUGUUGGUCCAGGCUAAUUUGCAGGAAGAAUCGGUCAUGAGAAAAGUGACUGUGAGAUUGAAAUCUCGUUGUGAUGAGAAUGAUCGGUGAGGGUAUGUUGAGACAUACCAGGGAGUGACAUUGUUGGGUACUGUCGGUGUCAAAACCGGCGGAUCUCGGGUAGGGGGUCCCGAACUGUGCAUCUAAGGCGGAUGGUAACAGGAGGCAGGGGACACGAUGUUUACCCAGGUUCGGGCCCUCUUGAUGGAGGUAAUACCCUACGUCCUGCUUGAUUGAUAUUGAUGAUAUGAGUAUUACAAGAGGUUAUCUACCACAAGAUCAUAGAGGCUAAACCCUAGAAGCUAGCAUAUGGUAUGAUUGUCUGUUGUCCUACGGACUAAACCUCCAGUUUAUAUAGACACCAGAGGGGGCUAGGAUUACACAGAGUCGGUUACAAGGGAGGAGAUCUACGUAUCCAUAUUGCCAAGCUUGCCUUCCACACCAAGGAAAGUCCCAUCCGAACACGGGACGAAGUCUUCAGUCUUGUAUCUUCAUAGUCCAACAGUCCAGCCAAAGGAUAUAGUCCUACUGUCCGGAGACCCCCUAAUCUAGAACUCCCUCAAUAGCCCCUGAACCAGGCUUCAAUGACGAUGAGUCUGGCGUGCGGUUUUGUCUUCGACAUUGCAAGGCGGGUUCCUCCUCCGAAUACUCCAUGGAAGAUUUUGAACACAAGGAUAGUGUCCGGCUCUGCAAAAUAAGUUUCCACAUACCACCAUAGAGAGAAUAAUAUUUCCACAAAUCUAAUCUGCUGACACAUUUUGAUAGCAUGACAUCAUGUCAUGGCCCGGUCAUUAUUCGAACCGUUUUUCUCAACCAGCUACUGCACACAUCGUGAGGUGGUUUCCUUGGCACCUCUUGUCGAAGCAGAGAUCAUGUCCCCUUAUCACGGGAUUCUCAUCAAUACAGAUGCGGGUAACCCAACCGUGCCAUCAAUUACGGCGCUUGGGGAAUAAGAGGUUUUACCAAGUGAGUGGGGAGGCACAUCGCCUCUUCCAUCCUUAUAAAGGGAUUAGGAUUCACUCUUUUCACCCACGCCCUCUUCCCGAUUUAUUCCAUUCUGAUCAGGCUCCGGCGCCCAAGCGUUCACCUUCUCUACCCACAAAAGGUCUUCCAAAGAUGUCUGGAUCCGGAGAAGGAGGCAAAUGGAUGGCCUCUACCGUCCGAGAGAAGGAUAUCAAAAAGCUUCGGGAGGCCGGGUAUCUAGUCAAGAAAAUCAACCACCGUCUCCCGACGACGGGACAGAUCGUCCCUACUCUGGAACCCCACGAGAGGGUUGUAUUGCUCCCUCACUUUGUUUGCGGGCUAGGGUUUCCCCUCCACCCGUUCGUCCAUGGCAUCAUGUAUUAUUAUGGGAUCGAUCUUCACGAUCUGGCCCCUAAUUCCUUCCUCAACAUAUCGACAUUCAUUGUCGUCUGCGAAGCUUUUCUCCGUAUUUCGCCGCACUUCGAUUUAUGGCUGAAGGUUUUUAAUGUGAAGCCCAAGGUGGUGGGCGACGAGCACGCCGAGUGCGGGGGCGCUAUGGUGAGCAAGAUACCGAACGUCGUAUGGCCAACGGGAACCUUUAAUGAUUCUGUCAAGGAGUGGCAACAGUAGUGGUUUUACAUCACUGAGCCGUGCGACAAGGAAUGGGCCGCCUCUCCUGAGUUUUGAUCCGGCGCCCCUCUGCGGCUUACAUCCUGGGUCAAGAAAGUCCUGGACUGGUCCUCGUCCGACGAACUGUCGGUGCUUCAAAUGCGCGUUAAAGAUAUGGGAGAUAAGAACAUUGAACUUGUCAACGUAGUCCAGGUGAUGUUAGUCUGCCGGAUACUGCCUUGUCAACACCGGACUUGGAAUCUAUGGGAUUUUGAUCCGGCCAGGCACCAAACUUUGCGAAGGUUCUUCGGCUCCUCGCACGAGGACAUCUGGAAGGUGCUUUUCAAGUCCAGCAAAUCAUGGCCAGACUCUACCGAAGACCGCGGGUACCAACUGUCCUGCCCUGCAAGUUCGGUGAGUUUUAUCAAACUUUUCUAUGCGCAUGACCCAAAGGAAGCGCUUAACGCAUGUUUUUUCAACUCCCCCAGAGCUGGACGAAGAAGGCGGAGUGAAUCCAUUGUCCGGCCCCGUUGCCCGAAGACCCGGCCAUCCCACUUCCGACGAAGAUGCUGGUCCCGGCGCCCUACAAGGUGCCGAAGAAGACGACAGAAAAGGAGUCCAAAAAGACCUGGGGCGGCCUUCGUCGUCGCGACUCUUCGGACACAAUACUUGAAGGCUCUGAUGCCCGUUCCGCCUCCGAAGAGGAUGAAAAGGAGGAGGAAGAUGAAUCCCCUGCGGGAGGAAGAGGACGGGCUCCACACCCUUGGAGGCCGAACUACCCAAAAAGGGAAGGGCUUCUCUUCCGGAGGAGUCCACUGCCACCGCCGACAGCGGCCUGACAUGGGAUUCCAGGGCCCAACCCCUGGUCAACUCAUAAGUAUAUAAAAUCCGAGUACGUUUAAGCAUCCGGACUCAUCGUGGCUUAGUAUUUUAACCUUAAGCCAUAUUUUUUGGUAGUCCGGUGAGGUCCCGUACCAAGCAAUCCUCAUCAGAGGACCUGCUGAGCUCGAAUGCUAUGGAGAGUGGGACGCCCCAAAAGGCCCCAUCCUCCAAACAGGUGCAUAACACCGAGGCUUCGUCCCAGAAGGACCCCGGCCAAGGAGGAAAGGAAGAAACCAUGAAGGCGACACCUGGAGGUCAAACCGCAAGGGCCGGACACGUGGGGGAAAAGAUUCACAUAUGGUCUGAUGGCGGGGGAUACCCUGAGUUUGGCUCCUCACCGGAUGCGAUUCCAGAGGUUUAUACGGCUCGAGAAUCAAGAAGGCAGCCUCCUUCGGCUAGAGGGGGCGUGCCUGUUGCGCCGGCGACCUCUGUCCAUCCAGAGGUGUCGGAUGCUUUGUUGGUGGCGUUACGAGACGCCUCCAUUGUUGACGAACACCCUGCCCUUAUGGGUGUGGUGAUUGAGAAGAUUCAAUCAACCGAGAGUGGACUGAACGAAGCCUGUAUCAGCCUUAUAAGAGGCUUUGAGGUAUGUUUUAUAAGUUGCCGAAGAGUGUCAUAGUAUAGAUAGUAGCCCCUCAUACCCUGUUCGGUGAAAGAAGGAACCAGACAGGGGAUCGCAUUGAUGAUCACAGGAAGACUCAUUGAGUGAUAUUGAUUUCUCUUCUGUUCCAAGUAGAUACAUGUAGCGGCUGCUGCCUCUCGUACUGCGGAGAUCUCCGGACUGAAUCAAAGUCUGGAGCAGGCCAUAGAAGAAAUUGGCCAAUUAAAAAUGCAGUUGAGGGAUAAACAAGGUAUGCACAAGCGUUGCACGCAUUUAUUGUGAAAUAAAUGUUCAGUAUGAAAUAAGCCGCACAAUUUGUGCUAGGGGUUAUGACCGAAGUCGAUGCCCUCAAAAGGGUCGUUGCCGAGGCCGAGAAAAAGGCGGCGACGGAGCGGACUCUUCGUGAGAAACACGAAGCCAGAGUUAUUAAAGCUGAGCAGGAGCUGCAAGAGGCCAUAAGUAAAUGCGAGGCCUUGGGGCAGAAUUUAACGGAGAAAGAGUCCGAACUCACCAAGGCGCGUCAAGCCAUGAGCGACGCCCGGGGGGAAACCCAAAGCAUCCUCCAGGGGAUUCAAGAGGCGAGGAAGAUCACGGCGGGUAAGGCUUUUCCCAUGUAAAGCAAGUAUUUGAAGGGAAAACUAUGUUUCUGAUUGUGAAUCCGGACUUCUCAGGUGUAUUUGCCGAGCUACCUCACAGUAUAUCAGAUGCCGCUCACUUGUACCGAGCCGAAGGAAGGAACACCGCCGAUAAGCUCUUUUGGUCGCAGUAUUUGGCACCGAAUUAUCUGGUGCCUUUUGCCGAUCAACUGAAAUAACUGAUCGAACUGCAUAAGGCGGCGGAACUAGCCAUGAAAGAUAUGGUUAUCCGGCUAUGGCCUGCCGAGCCGAUUCCAAGCAGCUACUUCGUGCUCGUGAGGCGGCUUGUAAGCGCUUGCCCUCGACUUGACGUCAUCAAGCGGUCGGUCUGCAUAGAAGGAGCGUGAAUGGCCUUCGCCCUCACAAAGGUGCACUCGGGGAAGAUGGAUGACGAAAAGCUAGUGACCGAGGGACCGCCAGAGGGAAAGGAGCACUGCAAGCCCGAAUUGUAUUAUAAGAGUGUCCUGAAAGGAUCCUACCUUGCAGCGGAGCUAUGUACCAAGGACAUUAUACUUCCAUGAAUGCCGAUCAUGUUGUCCUUUUAAUGUUUGAACAAGGUCGUUUAUAUGUCGCCUGUUAUAUAAAAGUUUACCCUCCUGUGCGGCCGUUUGUAUGUUAAGGCUGAGAGUUGGCCAGUCAUCGGCUUCUGCCCCCACGUAAGAAAUACGGGGGUGUUCGGGAUAAACCUGAGCACUCUUUAUCCCAGUUUUGGGUCCUCCGAAGGAGGUGCUCAGCACAACGAACCAGGCAAUCGAACUAUAGGGCUUUAUCACUCUCACUUAGCCAUAGGAGCUUUAGUAUGGUCGGCGCAGCCCUUUGUGUUUGGAAGACCGUCCUAGGGGCUCUAUAAGCGCCUGAUCGGAGAAAAAGCCGAUCCAUCACUCGCUGCAUUGGUUAUGGCAUUAUGCGGGAGAAAUCCUUAAAGAUUUUGUGACCGCUCGAACAGCUGACCAGCUCUCGCCGUAUCAUGACAGUCAGUUUUCGGCUUUCUCUAUUGAGGUGCUCAUCCGGAAGAACCGGGACACAAUCGCAGUAGUUCUCCUAGUGCUACCUUAGCUGAUAUAGUGGAACGUAAGGUACCAAAACAUGGGAGCCGGGCAAACCCAACUAUUGACCCAAGACAUGAUUCGGAGCUGAUGCAUAUAAUGCUAUAAGUUCGGGGUGCCGAACUUCCAUGAAGGUGUUCGGACUUUUAUUGCCGUGUUAUGGGGAAAACGAAGCCCCUGGCAUAUUUAAGGCAUAUCGCUGUGUACGAAUGCCAUUUAAUGAAAUGAUUUCGAUAAGAAAUAAUCAGCAGGUAAACGUCAUAUAAAUCCACAUGUUGUAUUUGAAUAAUACGUCUAUGCAUAUGGGAACAAGUAAUGUGAUAAAAAAGGAGUUGUGAUAGCAGAACCUGUUGUGACCAGGGGGAGAGGUUGAGUGCGGAUCCGUAUUGUAGCCGGACGUUCGCUGCGGGAAUGUCUAAGGAUCCCCUGACGCGUUCGAGCUGCCUCUAUGGAGUCCGUCCUGGUCGGUGCAAAGGUGAACCUGCAAAGGAAAUAUGAGAAAUGUUUGCGUGCCAGAGGGCGGUUGAACCGCUGAGUUCGGCCUGUCAUGGCCUUCGCCGGAGUGUUUAGUUGAGUUGUGGACGAGCCGGGGUAUCCUUCCGCGAAGUGGUUCAGAGCCCUUGACGGUGUCCGGGAGCCUGGGCGUCGACUCGAGGUUCGGCUGCAAGGUGCUGCUCGUUGUUCCUGCUGCUAAGGCAGUGAUGUAUUUGUUGGUGCCGAAGGAAGGUUCGGCCUUGCCAUGACCCGUGAUGACGCCGCGUGGACCAGGCAUUUUGAGCUUACGGUAGGCAUAAUGUGGCACCACGGUGAAUCAAGCGAACGCGGUUCGCCCGAGCAGUGCUUGAUAGUCACUACGGAAAGGGGCGAUUUCGAAGAUUAACUCUUCGAUAUGGUAAUUUUCCUGUGAUCCGAAGAUUACCUCGAGGGCAAUGGAGCCUGUAUAGCUAACCUCCAUACCUGGUAUCAUGCCUCUGAAAGUGGCUUUAGUGGGCUUGAUCGCUGAAUGAUCGAUGCCCAUCUUGCGCGUUGUAUCCUAGUAUGUCGGAUUCACGGGUUCCGGCAGACCCUUAAGGUUCAAACACUGGGGUGCGCGCGGAGGUUACGCCUUCAACCUCUCCGUCUCGCAAGGAACUAAACUACUAAAGGAACUGCACAAGAGAUACAAGAUUUAUACUGGUUCGGGCCACCAUUGUGGUGUAACACCCUACUCCAGUGUGUGGUUGGUGGAUUGCCUCCUGGGGCUGAUGAUGAUGAACAAUACAAGGAAGAACAGCCUCGCGAGGGUCUGUUCUUGGCUGAGGUGAUGAACCGCUAGGAGGAAUUCAGUCACCUUUCUCUCUCUCUCUUACUCUCUCUCUCUACUUGCGAACCGGACAAUCCAACCCUUCUAACCGAACCCUCUGCUAUGCGGGCGGCUGGUCCUAUUUAUAGAGGCCCUGGUCCUCUUCCCAAAUAUUUAGCGGGAAGGGAGCCAACAAUGGCGGGCUAAUUUGAAGGGGGACAGCGAGUACACUUAUCCUGACUAAAGUUGGUCUCCGCCUGCCAAAGGCUCUGGUGAUGACGCCGUGCUGGGCUCCAUGGUGACCUCCGUCUCGUAGUCCUCCUGGUCUUGGUCUCGUUGCACCGAAAUGGCAACCUUUGCCUGAUGCCUCGGUACUCCACGGCUGCGCUCGCCCCCUUUGCACCAAAGAGGAAAGAAGGACGCUGCGCACGCUGGCGCUCGCCUGGCACCCUGAGUCGCCAUGGCUUACGUCAUGGUCACCUCGCGAGGUACCCUGCCUUGAUAUCUCCGCCUCCUCGCGAGCCAGCCUGAUGAGGCUGCGCCUGAGGAUGCGCCGUGUCGUCCGCCCCGCGAGGCUUGGCCCCUCGCGAGGGUCUUGAGUCUUGUGUUGAUGAAGAUGGGCCACGCUGGGCCCCCAUUUGAGCCACGCCGCAGGCCGCAGGCAGGCAAGUCUGGGGACCCCCGUUCCUAGAACACCGACAGUAGCCCCCGGGCCCAAGGCGCGCAUGGACUUGGCCGUGCCGAGAGGCAAAAGGGCAAGGGCGAAGCACUGUGGGCCCUAACAGCCUGUGGCCUUGGGCGCCGUGUGGCGGUUGAUUGGACGUGGCGUCUCCACUUCCCCAUGACGCCUCGAUGAUCACGCGAGUUGGACAAGUCCCUGCAUGCAGAUCGUGUCAUGAUUACCUGUGAUCGAGGAGGCCGGCGGUUGGCCUUCGCCGGCUAUAAGUACGGCACCGCGCGUGCCCUUCCAGUCCAUCUCUUCUUGCUCUCUCCUUCGCCUCAAUUCUUGCUCCGUCUUGGUGUGAUGGCUCCAUCGAGGAGGUACUCGGCUGCAGAGAAGGGGAAGGCCCUCCAGGUUGGUCCUGCCUCUCCCCCACCCAAGCGCGGCCGUGGGCGCCCUCGGAAGCAUCUGGUGGCCGCCCCGGUGGCGUUUGGUGGUCAUGGGGGCGGCUCCCAGCGCUGUGGCGGGCGAGCCGCCGUGGCUGAGGGACGCGCCUGGGUCGCGCGCUCCCCCAGGCCGCGCUUUCGCGCUGUGCAGGCGCUACCGGAGUUCGUCGUCUAGUCGGCGGAGCCGACUAGCGCCCGGCUCGCACUCCCUCGCUUCCUCCUUGGUGAACUCCCGGCCGGUGCUCCUGGUGGCCUCUGGCUCCAGGCAGAGGGCUGCUGCAGCAGGUCCUCAUGGGUCGCGCUGGAGGUCUCCGCCAGCAGGGGCUUGGCCUUAACUCGUGGCUGGCUGGCGUUCGUCCGCGCUCACGGCCUGGAGCGCCGGUGCACUCUGCACUUCAGGUUCGACGGCGACGCCACCCUCUAUGUGAGGGUGUUUGGGGAAGAUGGUCGCCGUGCGGGGUGCUGCCCUAAGGACGACGACCGCGUCUGCGGGCCCCGCUCCGAUGGCGAUGGAGGAGAUAGCACCCGCGCGGAUGGCGGCGUCCGCGACUCCCCAAGCUUUGUCAACUCUUCCUCAAGUGACUCCUCCAGCGGUGGCAGCAGUCCGCCCCCGCGCCAUCGAGCUUUCUUGGGAGGUGGUGGUUCGUCCGCCCGCCGUCGUGCCCCGGUGAAGCGCGAGAGGGAGUCCGCCUGAUGCCUGGAGGCAGCCUGUGUCACCUCCGCGGGCCGAUGUGAGGAGGGCCGCGCCGGGCUCGUCCUUUCCUUUUCCUUUUGUUUCCUGCGUAAGACAGAACAACUGCAUGGAGCCCCGCUGGGGCGCGUUGGGAAAUAUUGUCGUUUUAGCUAUUACCUUGAUCUUAUUUUUGCGCCUCUUAACUACACGCCUGUGCGUAGAUAGUUUUUGACCCCUGCCGGGGGGGCGACCGACCCAGGCCCUGUGUGCGCGUCGCGGUGCCCGAGGGGCAUGGACUAGAAGGGGUGCUCCUGUAAUGUGCCAGGGCCAUGAAACCUUCCCGCGGCUAGGGCAGAAACGCUCGCGAGGACGUUUGAGCACCAUCCCUCGCGAGGUCGUUUAUGAGAGAAACCAAAGCGAGGAGCGAAAAUCGACGAACCACAAAUCAGCAACAGCGAUAACUUCAAUAAGACUUCAAAUGCAAGCAAACACGUCAACUGCAGAAAGCAAAUGAAAAAGCCGCAUCCGGCACCUAAUCUAGUCUUCGACGUCUUCUCACCAGCGCGGAGCUAAGUGCUUCCACUGGGCGUGGGAGGGAGCCCCAGGGCAUGAGGCCGGCGCUCCUGAGACUCCGGGGCGUGUACAGCCCCACUCAUUAUUAUGUGAGAGUGUCACGGGGCGGCGAGCUUCACAGGCAUUGGCCUUCUUCACAGGCUCCGGGCCUUUCUUCUUAGAGGUGAUCAACUUCACAUGCACUUGACUUCUUCAUAGGCUCCGGGCCUUUUCCAAGAAGGGAAGGUCUUCACAGGCGCUCGCCUUGCUUCACAGGCUCUGGGCCUUUUCCAAAAAGAGAUGAUCUUCACAGGCACUCGCCUUGCUUCACAGGCUCUGGGCCUUUUCCAAAAAGAGAUGAUCUUCACAGGCACUCGCCUUGCUUCACAGGCUCUGGGCCUUUUCCAAAAAGAGAUGAUCUUCACAGGCACUCGCCUUGCUUCACAGGCUCUGGGCCUUUUCCAAAAAGAGAUGAUCUUCACAGGCACUCGCCUUGCUUCACAGGCUCUGGGCCUUUUCAAGGGUAGAACUUCCGGAGGUGCUGGAUGUUCCACGCAUUCUGGACCGGCACUCCCUCCUGGGUCUCCAAGCGCGCGGAGCCGGGCCUGGAAACAUGAACAACCUUGAACGGGCCCUCCCACAUGGGAGAGAGCUUGUGCAAUCCCUCCCUGGAGAGGACCCGCCUGAGCACGAGGUCUCCUACCUCAAGAGUCCUGGGGCGGAUGUUGCGGCAGUGAUAUCGCCGCAACGCUUGCUGAUACCUCGCCGCUCGCAGCGCGGCCUCCCGGCGACGUUCCUCCCCCAACACGAGGUCCAUCCCCCGCAUGGCGUCCUGUUGCGCCUCGUCGAACGCCAGGACCCGCACGGAGCGACGUCUGACCUCGUGAGGGAGGACUGCUUCCGCUCCGUAGACCAGGAAGAAUGGGGUCUCCCCAGUCGGUUUGGUCGCGGUGGUGCGGAUGGACCACAACACGGACUGAAGCUCAUCGUACCAGCCUCUGCCAGAGGCCUCUAGCUUCUUCUUGAACGUCCUGGUCUUGAGGCCCCUCAGGAGCUCUGCAUUGGCUCACUCGGCCUGGCCGUUGCUUCGAGGGUGCACCACCGAAGCGUAGCAUAUCUGCGUUCCAAGGUUAGCACAGUAUGUUUUGAAGAGGUUACUGGUGAACUGCGAACCGUUGUUUGUGAUGAUGCGGUUCGGCACCCCGAACCGUCUCACGAUGCCCCUGAUGAACUUGACCGCGGAACCCGCGGGGAUGGUGCGGACGGCCUCUACUUCAGCCCACUUGGUGAACUUGUCCACGGCGACGUAGAGGUAGCGGUAGCCCCCUGGCGCCCGAGGAAACGGGCCCAGGAUGUCCAGCCCCCAGACUGUGAAUGGCCACGAAAGGGGUAUAGUCUGCAGGCCUCCUGCCGGCUGAUGGAUUUGCUUGGCGUGGAACUGGCAGGCCUCACAAGCUUUCACCAUUUCAAUGGCGUAAUUGAGUGUGGUGGGCCAAUAAAACCCACUGCGGAACGCCUUGCCGACGAGGGUCCGUGAUGAUGAAUGAUGUCCACAAUCUCCGCCAUGUAUAUCUUCCAGCAGUUCCUUUCCUUGCUCCCUGGAGAUGCAGCGCAGGGAUACAUCAUUUGGUCGCUUCCAGUAGAGCUCUCCAUCCUUGAUGCAGUAUGCCGUGGCCUGCCGUGCCACACGCUCCGCCUCCUCCUCCUUCUCCGGCAGGGUCCCUUGUGUUAAGUAACUCCGGAGCUCCGUGAUCCAGCAUCCCUCCUAAGGUUCCAUCGUCAGGAGCAGGCAUGCUCCCGAGGCCGGGCCACAGACCGGGGCUCUUGAGGCAGGUGGCCGGGGGAGCUCCUCCCGAGGCUGAGCCGUGUUUGACAAUGACGGCAGGGCUGAGGGCUUGAAGAGCCGCUCCUCGAAGACGCUAGGCUCCUGAGGUAACCACCGGGACGCCCGUUUGGCGAUGUCGUCGGCCUCCUGAUUGGUGCCACGGGGCACAUGCUACAACUCCAACCCCCAGAACUGCUUCUCCAUCCUGCGGACCUCCGCAAGGUAGGCUUCCAUGUGCUCAUCUUUCGGCUCGUACACCUUGUUGGAGAAAUUGACAAGGAGCUGCGAAUCGCCCUUGAUGGUGAGGCGUUGCACCCCCAGGGCAGCUGCGGCCUUCAAGCCCUCUAUUAAACCUUCAUACUCCGCUAUGUUGUUGGAGACCUUUUCGCCUUGCUGGAAACAGAGCUGUACAGCGUAGUAGAGCUUGUCCUGAGUAGGCGAUAUAAGCACCGCCCCAGCCCCAGCGCCAUGCCUGGAGAACGCCCCGUCGAAGUACAUGACCCAGCCUUCUGGCGCCUCGCUCCCCGAGGAGAGGGACCGAUCCUCGUCGGCCUUGAGGCCUGGUGCCGCCGUCCAUUCUGCCACAAAAUCCGCCAACGCUGCUCCUUUGAUGACCCUGGUUGUGCUGAACUCGAGCUGAAAUGCCUGCAGCUCUAUGUUCCACUCGGCGACCCUUCCAGCUGAGUUAGGGCUCCUGAGCACUCUCUCCAGGGGGUAUGAUGAGACGACUUUGAUGGGAUGAGCCUGGAAGUAGUGACGCAGCUUGCGCGAGGCUACCAGUAGCGCGAGGAGGAGCUUUUGAGGCAUUGGGUACCGUGCCCUCGCAUCCCGUAGCACCGUGCUAACAAAGUAAACUGGGUGCUCAACAAGGCUGAGAGCAUCUGGGGUUGCUGCGCCCUCGGGAGGUGAGGGCGCCUCAUGAGGCGACGUGGCCUCGGGAGGUGAACCAUCCGGUCGUGUGGCCUCUCCUGCCUCCGGUGCAUUCUUCGGCAGCUGACCCUCCUCAACCGCGGUUGUGGCUUCUGCAGGCUUCCCUUGUUCCCGUUUUGUCUUCCCUCGGGCUGCCGCUGCGGUCUUGACUUGGCGCUCCUCCCUAACUGCCACCAGGGCUGCGCUGGCGGAGUAGGGUGUGGCGGCGAGGUACAGCAGCAGGGGCUCUUGAGGGCGUGGAGCCACCAUGACUGGGGGACUGGUCAGGUACCUCUUGAGAUCUUGAAACGCCUUAUCUGCCUCUUCAGUCCAUUCAAAGGGCCCCUUUUUCUUCAUCAGCUGAAAGAAAGGCAACGCUCGCUCCCCCAAUUUGGAGAUGAAGCUCCCUAGCGCGGUCACGCGCCCAGUGAGCUUCUGCAUUUCUCUGAGGGUCUUUGGUGGACUCAUGUCCUCGACCGCCUUGACCUUCUCAGGGUUGGCCUCGAUGCCACGAUGGGAUACGAGGAAUCCCAAAAGCUUGCCCGAGGGGACGCCAAACACACAUUUCUCUGGGUUGAGCCGCAAGUUUACUGCGUCGAGGCUUGCGAAGGUCUCCUCCAGGUCUUGUAUCAGGGUCUUGGCCUCCCAAGAUUUUACUACAAUGUCAUCAACGUAGGCUUCGACAUUCUUUCCGAGCUGCGGGCCCAAGGUGAUGUGCAUCAGCCACUGAAAGGUUGCCCCUGCGUUACGCAGUCCGAACGGCAUGCACGUAUAGCAGUAUACCCCACACGGGGUCAAGAAAGCGGUCUUCUCAACGUCUUCCACCGCCAUCUUGAUCUGGUGAUACUCGGAGAAGGCAUCCAGGAAGCAUAGCAGGUCGCACUCCGCAGUGGAAUCGACGAUCUGGUCGAUGCGGGGGAGCGGAAACGGGUCUUGCGGGCAUGCCUUGUUGAGGUUGGUGAAGUCGACACACAUGCAUUCCUUCCCCCCCCCUUCUUGGGCACAACGACAGGGUUGGCCAACCAAACCGGGUAUCGGACCUCGCGAAUGACCCCGGCGGCCUCUAGCUUGCGGGUCUCUUGGGCAAUGAAGGCCUGCUUCUCCGUGGACUACCGCCUGGCCUUCUGCUUCACGGGGCGCACAUUUGGGCACACGUUGAGGUGGUGCUCGAUGACACUCCUGGGGGUCCCCGCCAGCUGAUCGGGCUCCCAAGCAAAUACCUUCUUAUUCGUGCGCAUGAACUUGACCAGGGCUUCCUCCUGCUCAGGCUCAAGGUUGGCGCCUAUGGUGAAAGUGGCACUGGAGGACCCGUCCUCGUCGACGGGUAUCUGCUUGGUUUCUGCCUUGUCCUGGGUGAACAACUGCUUCUUCUUGGCGGGUGCAGCCCCCUUGGGCUCAGGGGUCUCCGCGCCAAUGCCGCCGUCUUGAAGGCAAGCUUGAGUACUUGCAGGGCGUCCCCGGUGUCCCCGUGCACGGCGAGGGUACCGCUGCUCCCGGGCAUCUUCAUGAGGUUGUACGCCGGGUGCGUGGCGGCCAUGAACUGAGCCAGUGCCGGGUAGCCGAGGAUGGCGUUGUAAGGGAGGCCGAUGGGGGCGAUGUCGAAGUCGACCAUCUCCGUGCGGAAGUUGUCGUAGGUGCCGAAGGUUACCGGGAGCCGGAUCUGUCCCAGGGAGUUGGAUGAUCCGCCCCCGACACCCAAGAAGGAUCGACUGGGUCGCAGUCGCUCCCGAGGUAUGCAGAGGAGGCUGAAAGUCUCGACCGAAAGCAUGCUGAGGCCCGCGCCGCCGUCAACGAGGGUCCUGGUGAUGGCCACCUGGCAGAUAGUGGGGGGUGCACAACAGGGGGAGUGCGCCCGAGCCGACCGGGUUGGUGGGGUGGUCCUCCGAGCUGAAGGUCAGGCCGACCUCGUGCGCCGCCUGGUCCAGGGGAGCCCCCUGCCGUGCGGAAACGGUGUUAACCCGGCGGGCGAAAGGCUUGACGUGGAGACUCGUGGGCGGUGCCUGCGAGCCGCCCAGGAGGGCCGCAACGACCGGAGGCGUCGAUGUUGCGGUGCAGUUACCCCGUCGCGCGGGCGGAUGCUGGGUGGCGCUCGCCGCUCAUUUCCCACCGGGCCGGUGGCGGUGUUGACGGCGGGCGACGGGGAACGACGAGGACGCCCACCGACGGGGGCCGUCUGGGCGAUGCGAGAAGCGAUGGCGGCCGGGCGCUCGGCGCGGGCCCGACGAGCGUCAGACAUGGACGCGAUGGUCGGAGGGGAGCGGAGUGGCGGAAGACAGAUUCCGGCGCACCCCUACCUGGCGCGCCAAAUGUCAGAUUCACGGGUCCCGGCAGACCCUUAAGGUUCGAACACUGGGGUGUACGUGGAGGUUACGCCUUCAACCUCUCCGUCUCGCAAGGAACUAAACUACUAAAAGAACUGCACAAGAGACACAAGAUUUAUACUGGUUCGGGCCACCAUUGUGGUGUAACACCCUACUCCAGUGUGUGGUUGGUGGAUUGCCUCCUGGGGCUGAUGAUGAUGAACAAUACAAGGAAGAACAGCCUCGCGAGGGUCUGUUCUUGGCUGAGGUGAUGAACCGCUAGGAGGAGUUCAGUCACCUUUCUCUCUCUCUCUCUUACUCUCUCUCUCUACUUGCGAACCGGACAAUCCAACCCUUCUAACCGAACCCUCUGCUAUGUGGGCGACUGGUCCUAUUUAUAGAGGCCCUGGUCCUCUUCCCAAAUAUUGAGCGGGAAGGGAGCCAACAAUGGCGGGCUAAUUUGAAGGGGGACAGCGAGUACACUUAUCCUGACUAAAGUUGGUCUCCGCCUGCCAAAGGCUCUGGUGAUGACGCCGUGCUGGGCUCCAUGGUGACCUCCGUCUCGUAGUCCUCCUGGUCUUGGUAUCAUUGCACCAAAAUGGCAACCUUUGCCUGAUGCUCGGUACUCCGCGGCUGCGCUCGCCCCCUUUGCACCAAAGAGGAAAGAAGGACGCUGCACGCGCUGGCGCUCGCCUGGCACCCUGAGUCGCCAUGGCUUAUGUCAUGGUCACCUCGCGAGGUACCCUGCCUUGAUAUCUCCGCCUCCUCACGAGCCAGCCUGAUGAGGCUGCGCCUGAGGAUGCGCCGUGUCGUCCGCCCCGCGAGGCUUGGCCCCUCGCGAGGGUCUUGAGUCUUGUGUUGAUGAAGAUGGGCCGCGCUAGGCCCCCAUUUGAGCCACGCCGCAGGCCGUAGGCAGGCAAGUCUAGGGACCCCCGUUCCCAGAACGCCGACAUAGUAAAGCAGAUUUAAACUGCUACCUUCGUCCAUAAGGACUCGAGUGAGGUGGAACCCGUCUACUAUUGGGUCGAGGAUUAGUGCGGCUGGAUUGCCCCGAUUGGCGUUAACCGGAUGAUCAGUGCAGUUGAAGGUGACCGGCCCUAGCUUAUAUUGUGGGACGGCGAGUUCCGUUGAGCCGCUGUCCCUAAGGGUGCAUAUCUGGUCCAAGUGGGCAAUUUGGGUGGUAUUUACCACAUUCACCGAUUGAAUAUGGGAGGGAUUUCUUUUGCCCUCGUGUGUUUGGCGAUCUGGGCUCUUCGUCGCUAUCGUCGCUUUGAGACCCCUCUUUGUUUUUGGCGCCUACCUUGCCGGCUUGUUUGAAGAUCCAACAUUCUCUGUUGGUAUGGGUGGCUGGCAUUUCUGGGGUGCCAUGAAUUUGGCAUUGGCGAGCGAGUAUGCGGUCCAGACUGGAUGGCCCCGGAUUUGUAUUUUUGGGCGGCCCUUUCCGCUGACCGGACUUUGAGCCCCUGAACCCGGCAUUAACUGGCGUAUUUUUGGGGUUUUCACCAUAUUUGCGGCGCUUGUGUUUGUUGUGCCGUGGUUUGUCGCUGCUAUCCCUGGCAUGUGAUAUGCCAGGUUUGCUUGUUGUAUUGGUACUACGAGCCAACCAUCUAUCUUUGCCCGCCCAAAAGCGGGUCAUAAGUGUCGUGAGGGCUGCCAUGGCUUCUCUUGGCCGAGGUGUCGAGCGAGCCAUUCGUCACGGAUAUUAUGCUUAAAUGCCGCUAAGGCCUCUCCAUCCAGACAGUCGACAAUUUGGUUCUUCUUGGUUAGGAACCGGGUCCAGAAUUUCCUGGCUGAUUCCCCUGGCUGCUGAGUUAUAUGACUUAAAUCGUCAGCGUCCGGCGGUCGCACGUAGGUGCCCUGGAAAUUGUCCAGGAAUGCCUCUGCCAGGUUCUCCCAACUUCCUAUGGAGUUUGCCGGCAAGCUAUUGAGCCAAUGCCGAGCCGGCCCAUUGAGUUUGAGCGGGAGAAACUUGAUGGCAUGUAGGUCUGCUACCUCUUGAGCACUGCGUUGGUUUUCCCCGAAGAGGAAGGGAUGGUGCAGCAAAGUAGCGUAAGUAUUUCCCUCUGUUUUUGAGAACCAAGGUAUCAAUCCAGUAGGAGGCUACGCGUGAGUCCCUCGUACCUUCACAAAACAAAUAAAUCCUCGCAACCAACGCAAAUAGGGGUUGUCAAUCCCUAUAAGGCCACUUACGAGAGUGAGAUCUAAUAGAUAUGAUAAGAUAAUUUUUUUGGUAUUUUUGUGAUAAAGAUGCAAAGUAAAAUAAAGGCAAAUUAAAUAGCAAAGGAAAUAACUAAGUAGUAGGAGAUUAAUAUGAUGAAGAUAGACUCGGGGGCCAUAGGUUUCACUAGUGGCUUCUCUCGAGAGCAUAAGUAUUCUACGGUGGGUGAACAAAUUACUGUUGAGCACUUGAUAGAAUUGAGCAUAGUUAUGAGAAUAUCUAGGUAUGAUCAUGUAUAUAGGCAUCACGUCCGAGACAAUUAGACCGGCUCCUGCCUGCAUCUACUACUAUUACUCCACUCAUCGACCGCUAUCCAGCAUGCAUCUAGAGUAUUAAGUUAAAAACAGAGUAACGCCUUAAGCAAGAUGACAUGAUGUAGAGGGAUAGACUCAUGCAAUAUGAGGAAAACCCCAUCUUGUUAUCCUCGAUGGAAACAAUACAAUACGUGCCUUGCUGCCCCUACUGUCACUGGGAAAGGACACCACAAGAUUGAACCCAAAGCUAAGCACUUCUCCCAUUGCAAGAAAGAUCAAUCUAGUAGGCCAAACCAAACUGAUAAUUCGAAGAGACUUGCAAAGAUAACCAAUCAUACAUAAAAGAAUUCAGAGAAGAUUCAAAUAUUAUUCAUAGAUAGACUUGAUCAUAAACCCACAAUUCAUCGAUCUCAACAAACACACCGCAAAAAGAAGAUUACAUUGAAUAGUUCUCCACAAGAGAGGGGAGAACAUUGUAUUGAGAUCCAAAAAGAGAGAAGAAGCCAUCUCGCUACUAACUAUGGACCCGUAGGUCUGAGGUAAACUACUCACACUUCAUCGGAGGGGCUAAGGUGUUGAUGUAGAAGCCCCCCGUGACCGAUGCCCCCUCCGGCGGAGCUCCGGAACAGGCCCCAAGAUGGGAUCUCGUGGAUACAGGAAGUUGCUGCGGUGGAAUUAGGGUUUUGGCUCUGUAUCUGAUUGUUUGGGGGUAUGUAGGUAUAUAUAGGAGGAAGGAGUACGUCGGUGGAGCAACAGGGGGCCCACGAGGGUGGAGGGCGCGCCUGGGGGGUAGGCGCGCCCCCUACCUUGUGGCCUCCUCUUUUCUUUCUUGACGUAGGGUCUGAGUCUCCCGGGUCUUGUUCGUUGAGAAAAUCACGUUCCCGGAGGUUUCAUUCCGUUUGGACUCCGUUUGAUAUUCCUUUUCUUCGAAACCCUAAAACAGGCAAAAAACAACAAUUCUGGGCUGGGCCUUCGGUUAAUAGGUUAGUCCCAAAAAUAAUAUAAAACUGGAUAAUAAAGCCCAAUAAUGUCCAAAACAGUGGAUAAUAUAGCAUGGAGCAAUCAAAAAUUAUAGAUACCUUGGAGACGUAUCAAGCAUCCCCAAGCUUAAUUCCUGCUCGUCCUCGAGUAGGUAAAUGAUAAAAACAAAAUUUUUGAUGCGGAGUGCUACUUGGCAUAAUUUUAAUGUAAUUCUUCUUAAUUGUGGUAUGAAUAUUCAGAUCCAAAAGAUUCAAGACAAAAGUUCAUAUUGACAUAAAAAUAAUAAUACUUCAAGCAUACUAACUAAGCAAUUAUGUCUUCUCAAAAUAACAUGGCCAAAGAAAGUUCAUCCCUACAAAAUCAUAUGGUUUAGUCAUGUUUCAUUUUCGUCACACAAGAAUGCUCUCAUCAUGGACAACCCCGAUGACAAGCCAAGCAAUUGUUUCAUACUUUAGUAAUCUCAAACAUAUAAACUUUCACGUAAUAUAUGAGCGCAAGCCAUGGACAUAGCACUAUGGUGGAAUAGAAUAUAAUGAGGGGGGUUAUGUGGAGAAGACAAAAAAGGAGAAAGUCUCACAUCAAUGAGGCUAAUAAAUGGGCUAUGGAGAUGCCCACCGGUUGAUGUUAAUGCAAGGAGUAGGGAUUGCCAUGCAACAGAUGCACUAGAGCUAUAAAUGUAUGAAAGCUCAACAAAAGAAACUAGUGGGUGUGCAUCCAACUUGCUUGCUCACGAAGACCUAGGGCACUUGAGGAGGCCCAUUGUUGGAAUAUACAAGCCAAGUUAUAUAAUGAAAAAUUCCCACUAGUAUAUGAAAGUGACAAAACAAGAGACUCUCUAACAUGAAGAUUAAGGUGCUACCUUGAAGCACAAGUGUGGCAAAGGAUGGUAGCAUUGUCCCUUCUCUCUUUUUCUCUCAUUUUUUGGGCCUUAUCUUUUUAUGGCAUUUUUCUUUUUUGGGGGCCUUCUCUUUUUUUAUGGCCUUUUUUUAUAUUCCUCACUUGGGACAAUGCUCUAGAAAAUGAUGAUCAUCACACUUUUAUUUAUUUACAACUCAAUGAUUACAACUCGAUACUAGAACAAAAGAUGACUCUAUAUGAAUGCCUCUGGCAGUGUACCGGGAUAUGCAAUGGACCAAGAGUGACAUGUAUGAAAGAAUUAUGAAUGGUGUCUUUGCCACAAAUACUAUGUCAAUAACAUGAUCAUGCUAAGCAAUAUGACAAUAAUGAAGGUGUCAUGAUGAACGGAAUGAUGGAAAGUUGCAUGGCAAUAUAUCUCGGAAUGGCUAUGGAAAUGCCAUAAUAGGUAGGUAUGGUGGCUGUUUUGAGGAAGAUAUAAGGAGUUUUAUGUGUUAAAGAGCGUAUCAUAUCACGGGGUUUGGAUGCACCAGCGAAGUUUGCGCCGACUCUCAAUGUGAGAAAGGGCAAUGCACGGUACCGAAGAGGCUAGCGAGGAUGGAAGGGUGAGAGUGUGUAUAAUCCAUGGACUCAACAUUAGUCAUAAAGAACUCACAUACUUAUUGCAAAAAUCUACAAGUCAUCAAAAACCUCGGUACUACGCGCAUGCUCCUAGGGGGAUAGAUUGGUAGGAAAAGACCAUCGCUCGUCCCCGACCGCCACUCAUAAGGAAGACAAUCAAAUAACACCUCAUGUUUCAAAUUUGUUGCAUAACGUUUAACAUACGUGCAUGCUACGGGACUUGCAAACUUUAACACAAGUAUUUCUCAAUUUCACAACUACUCAACUAGCACGACUUUGAUAUUAUUACCUCCAUAUCUCAAAACAAUCAUCAAGCAUCAAACUUCUCUUAGUAUUCAAAACACUCUUAAGAAAAUUUUACUAAUCUUGAACACCUAGCAUAUUAGGAUUUUAAGAAAAUUACCAUGCUAUUAAGACUCUCAAAAUAAUCUAAGUGAAGCAUGAGAGAUCAACAGUUUCUAUAAAACAAAUCCACCACCGUGCUCUAAAAGAUAUAAGUGAAGUACUAGAGCAAAACUAUAUAACUCAAAAGAUAUAAGCGAAGCACAUAGAGUAUUCUGACAAAUUCCAAAUCAUGUAUGGCUCUCUUAAAAGGUGUGUACAGCAAAGAUGAUUUUGGUAAACUAAAAAGCAAAGACUCAAAUCAUACAAGACGCUCCAAGUAAAACACAUAUCAUGUGGCGAAAAAAAAUAUAGCUCCAAGUAAAGUUACCGAUAGAAGUAGAUGAAAGAGGGGGUGCCUUCCGGGGCAUCCCGAAGCUUUGGAUUUUAGGUGUCCUUAGAUUAUAUUGGUGGUGCCAUGGGCAUCCCCAAGCUUAGGCUCUUUCCACUCCUUGUUCCAUAAUCCAUCAAAUCUUUACCCAAAACUUGAAAACUUCACAACACAAAACUUAAAGUAGAAAAUCUCGUGAGCUCCGUUAGCGAAAGAAAAUAAAGGACCACUUCAAGGUACUGUAAUGAACUCAUUCUUUAUUUAUAUUGGUGUUAUACCUACUGUAUUCCAACUUCUCUAUGGUUUAUAAACUAUUUUACUAGCCAUAGAUUCAUCAAAAUAAGCAAACAACACACGAAAAACAGAAUCUGUCAAAAACAGAACAGUUUGUAGUAAUCUGUAGCUAGCGCAAGCUCUAGAACCCCAAAAAUUCUAAAAUAAAUUUAUGGACGUUAGGAAUUUAUCUAUUAAUCAUCUGCAAAAAUAAUUAACUAAAUAUCACUUUCCAAAUAAAAAUGACAGCAGUUAUCGUGAGCGCUAAAGUUUCUGUUUUUCACAGCAAGUUCAACAAGACUUUCCCCAAGUCUUCCCAACGGUUCUACUUGGCACAAACACUAAUUAAACACAAAAAAUAGAACCAAAACAGAGGCUAGAUAAAUUAUUUAUUACUAAACAGGAACAAAAAUCAAGGAAUAAAAAUAAAAUUGGGUUGCCUCCCAACAAGCGCUAUCGUUUAACGCCCUUAGCUAGGCAUAACAAGCAAGGAUAGAUCUAGGUAUUGCCAUAAUAAUAAGAUAGAUUAUUAAAACCCAUUUCAUAUUCUGUACGUUCGGCAGCAAGUUUUCUUUAAGGCAAGCAAAAGUAAUCAAAAGGGCUAAAUUUAAUGGGAUAAAAGUCCCCAAGAUCAACCUUGGGAGGUAUAGGUUCCUCCUUUGGUCCUUCAUAUUGCAUAACCAAUUCAUCAUUAUAAGCAUUCUUUUGACAGAACUUUGUGAGCGUAUAUUCAAGAGAAUAUCCUAGUUUCUUAUUUCGAAUAGCCAAACCAUCAUUAAGUUCAGAAAUUCUAUCAACUAGAACAUUGGUAGGAACCCUUUUUCUAAGAUUUUCAUUGAAAGCAACAUAGUCUAGAGAUUGAAAACACAUUAUUUCUUCUUGAUCAAAGAGGAUAGCCUCUAUGGGAGGACGGCAAGCGUCCACCCUAUAAUGUGCAAAGAUUUCUUUGGCCUCUUUUACUCAUGAGCCAAAAAUAUAGUAGCGGCAUGCUUAACAGAAGAAUGCUCAAUAUUAGAAAAUUCCAGAAAAAUCCUUUGUAUGGAAGGAUGCAUGUGCAUGAAUUGUCUUUCAAGUUCAACUACAAGCAUGGCAAUAGCGUCUGCAAGACUACUAGUUCUAUGAAGGAUAGAACUACCCAUAGAGGGUAAAGCACUGGCACAAGUAAAAAAUCUUGAAUAGCUCCUUUUCCAAUAAUAUUACCACUACCAACACGGAAUCUUUUUGUAUGUGAGAUAGUGGGUUCUUUAGUAGGAGCAUCAGAAUUAUUAUCGACAAUAGUUUCCCCAAUUUCAGACAUAAAGGUAGAAGGUAAAGGACUAGCCAUAACGACAAGCAAACAAACUAACACACAAGCAAACAAAAAGCAAGCGGGCAAAUAGAGAAAGAGAGGGAGGAUAGAGAGAGAGAGGGCAAAUAAAACGGCAAGGGUGAAGUGGGGGAGAGGAAAACGAGAGGCAAAUGGCAAAUAAUGUAAUGCUGGAGAUAAGGGUAUGUGAUGGGUACUUGGUAUGUUGACUUUUGCGUAGACCUCCCCGGGAACGGCGCCAGAAAUCCUUCUUGCUACCUCUUGAGCACUGCGUUGGUUUUCCCCGAAGAGGAAGGGAUGAUGCAACAAAGUAGCGUAAGUAUCUCCCUCAGUUUUUGAGAACCAAGGUAUCAAUCCAGUAGGAGGCUACGCGCGAGUCCCUCGUACCUGCACAAAACAAAUAAAUCCUCGCAACCAAUGCAAAUAGGGGUUGUCAAUCCCUAUAAGGCCACUUACGAGAGUGAGAUCUGAUAGAUAUGAUAAGAUAAUACUUUUUUGGUAUUUUUGUGAUAAAGAUGCAAAGUAAAAUAAAGGAAAAGUAAAUAGCAAAGGAAAUAACUAAGUAGUAGGAGAUUAAUAUGAUGAAGAUAGACCCCGGGGCCAUAGGUUUCACUAGUGGCUUCUCUCGAGAGCAUAAGUAUUCUACGGUGGGUGAACAAAUUACUGUUGAGCAAUUGAUAAAAUUGAGGAUAGUUAUGAGAAUAUCUAUGUAUGAUCAUGUAUAUAGGCAUCACGUCCGAGACAAGUAGACCGACUCCUGCCUGCAUCUACUAGUAUUACUCCACUCAUCGUCCGCUAUCCAGCAUGCAUUUAGAGUAUUAAGUUAAAAACAGGGUAACGCCUUAAGCAAGAUGACAUGAUGUAGAGGGAUAGACUCAUGCAAUAUGAAGAAAACCCCAUCUUGUUAUCCUCGAUGGCAACAAUACAAUGCGUGCGUUGCUGCCCCUAUACUGCCACUAGGAAAGGACACCGCAAGAUUGAACCCAAAGCUAAGCACUUCUCCCAUUGCAAGAAAGAUCAAUCUAGUAGGCCAAACCAAACUGAUAAUUCGAAGAGACUUGCAAAGAUAACCAAUCAUACAUAAAAUAAUUCAGAGAAGAUUCAAAUAUUAUUCAUAGAUAGACUUGAUCAUAAACCCACAAUUCAUCGGUCUCAACAAACACACCGCAAAAAGAAGAUUACAUCGAAUAGUUCUCCACAAGAGAGGGGGAGAACAUUGUAUUGAGAUCCAAAAAGAGAGAAGAAGCCAUCUAGCUACUAACUAUGGACCUGUAGGUCUAAGGUAAACUACUCACACUUCAUCGGAGGGGCUAAGGUGUUGAUGUAGAAGCCCUCCGUGAUCGAUGCCCCCUCCGGAGGAGCUCCGGAACAGGCCCCAAGAUGGGAUCUCGUGGAUACAGAAAGUUGCGGCGGUGUAAUUAGGGUUUUGGCUCCGUAUCUGAUUAUUUGGGGGUACGUAGGUAUAUAUAGGAGGAAGGAGUACGUUAGUGGAGCAACAGGGGGCCCACAAGGGUGGAGGGCGCGCCUGGGGGGGGUAGGCGCGCCCCCUACCUCGUGGCCUCCUCUUUUCUUUCUUGACGUAGGGUCCAAGUCUCCUGGGUCUUGUUCGUUGAGAAAAUCAUGUUCCGGAAGGUUUCAUUCCGUUUGGACUCCGUUUGAUAUUCCUUUUCUUCGAAACCCUAAAACAGGCAAAAAAACAACAAUUCUGGGUUGGGCCUCUGGUUAAUAGGUUAGUCCCAAAAAUAAUAUAAAAGUGGAUAAUAAAGCCCAAUAAUGUCCAAAAUAGUCGAUAAUAUAGCAUGGAGCAAUCAAAAAUUAUAGAGACGUUGGAGACGUAUCAAGGUCAUCCCCGCGGGACAUAUGAAUGUGGAGGAAGAAGUCUUCUAUCCAUACCGCAGGGUCUGUAGUACCAUCGUAUGAUUCGAUGUUUACGGGUUUAAACCCUUCUGGGAAUUCAUGAUCCAUUACUUCAUCAGUGAAGCAUAAGGGGUGUGCGGCGCCUCUGUGCCGGGCUAUAUCGCGACGCGGUUCAUACGAGUCUUGUCUGCCGAGUCCGGCUCGGCCGGAUUUGCUUUUAGUGUAUCCGGCGUGACGAUCCUCGUCGUAUAUUGGUGCACGCCCCUAUGAUCCAUAGAUCAAUCUUUCAUGUUUUGCCUUGUUUUCGAAUACGUCUCACAGGUCCCGUGUGUUGCCCCGGGCCUUGGUAUUUUUGUUUGAGUGGCGGCGGGGUGCAGGCUGAACUUCAGGCCGAAACGCCUCUCUGGCUCGGCCACGAGGUGGCCGGUCAGCCGCAUCGUACACUGGUGAUGUAGGUUUCAAUGCUUCCUCCUCAAAGUGGUGUAGCAACCUACGCUUUGGGUUAUUCUUGGAGGGGUGCUCGAGUUCGUAUUCCUCGGCCGCAAGGACUUCGGUCCAUCUGUCUGCUAGCAGAUCUUCGUCAUCUUGAAGCUGUUGUUGCUUUUUCUUCAGGCUAUUUGUUGUGGCCAUAAGCCGACGCUUGAAGCGCUCCUGCUCGACGGGAUCCUCAGGCACGAUAAAUUCUUCAUCGCCGAGCCUCACCUCGUCUUCGGAGAGAGGCAUGUAAUUGUCCUCCUCCGAUUCUCCAUCUGCUGCCCGCUCUGGAGGCCUAGCUUGUUCACCCUCCUGCACUAAAUUGUGCUGGAGGGGAUUAUUGUCGUCUUCGGCACUAUCCGGAGUGUUAUUGUCUCUUGUGCUGGUAUCACUAUUUUUGCUAUGGCGGGACUUAGAGUAGCGCCGCUGACGUUGGCGCUUCGGUUGCUUCUUGGAGGGGUCUUUCCUCCGCUGUCUUGUUGCCAUUGCCUUCUAAGGGGGUGUCCACCAUGUAUAUAUCAUAUGAUGAGGUGGUGGUCCAGCGCCUUGUGGGCGGUGGUUCCUUUUCGUCUCCUACAUCGUCGUCUAUACCAUCGAUGUCUUUCGAGUCGAAGUCGAGCAUGUCGGUUAAAUCGUCGACAGUGGAUACUAAGUGGGUGGUGGGUGGGCAGCGAAUUUCUUCGUCGUCUGCAUCCCAUUCUAGCCGGACAUAGUUGGGCCAAGGUUCUCCUGACAAGGAGAGAGACCUUAAUGAAUUUAGUACAUCGCCGAAAGGCGAAUGCUGAAAGAUAUAUGCGGAGGCAAACUCCAUGAUCGGCGCCUAGUCGAAUUCAAUAGGCACGGAUGCAGGCGGCUUGGAGUCCGUGGCCGGAGACGAAUCCAGUGGUUCAGCAACACGGCUCUCGUAAGGGGUGAAGUCAGUAUCCGGCUCCAUCGCCACUGAGAGUGCAGCCUCCAUGGCGGGGUCCAUCCCUCCGUCGUCGGAUGGCGCAAUUUGCUCCGGAUUGAAGGCCGGAGUAGUUGCAGAUGCGAUCUCCCGAACACUGUCCGACAGCAGAGUUACGUCAUGCUCGUCGUGAUUGUGCGGCGCACCUGACAUGGGCUUGAAUCCGUCGAAGAUAAAGUCUCCGCGGAUGUCGGCAGUGUAGUUUAAGUUUCCGAACCUGACUUGAUGGCCAGGGGCGUAACUCUCGAUCUGCUCUAGAUGGCCAAGCAAAUUGGCCCGUAGUGCGAAGCCGCCGAAUACAAACAUCUGUCCGGGGAGGAAAACCUCACCCUGGACCGCAUCAUUAUCGAUGAUCGAAGGGGCCAUCGAGCCUUAUGGUGACGGCACAGUGGAACUCUCAAUGGAAGCACCAAUGUUGGUGUCAAAACCGCCGGAUCUUGUGUAGGGGGUCCCGGACUGUGUGUCUGAGGCGGAUGGUAACAGGAGGCAGGGGACACGAUGUUUACCCAGGUUCGGGCCCUCUUGAUGGAGGUAAAACCCUACGUCCCGCUUGAUUGAUAUUGAUGAUGUGAGUAUUACAAGCGUUGAUCUACCACGAGAUUGUAGAGGCUAAACCCUAGAAGCUAGCCUAUGGUAUGGUUGUCUGUUGUCCUAUGGACUAAGCCCUCUAGUUUAUAUAGACACCGGAGGGGGCUAGGGUUACACAUAGUCGGUUACAAGGGAGGAGAUCUACGUAUCCGUAUUACCAAGCUUGCCUUCCAUGCCAAGGAAAGUCCCAUCCAGACACGGGACGAAGUCUUCAAUCUUGUAUCUUCAUAGUCCAACAGUCCAGGCAAAGGAUAUAGUCCGGCUAUUCGGAGACCCCCUAAUCCAGGACUCCCUCAGGUACUGCCAAGGAAUUAUAUUGUGCUAACCAUUGUAGGGAAACUUAAACCUCCUGAGUUGACCGUAGAUCGAGUCUUGUUCCAGUAACCCCCCAUACUUGAUUCGUGCUACCACAUGUCCCUGCCAAAGGUAGGGUAUGGUUCAGUAAGUGGAUAACCCCUUUCCUACACACAUCGUACAGAGAGGCCAUAGGGAAUGAUACUAUUGGCCCUAGUAGUCAUGUCACUUGGUUCGGGGGCAUGAAUGGCCGGUCUGGGACCGAAGCUGAAUGUUCAUGCUGUGGGAGGCCGUUGUGUGAGGCCUUCCCACUUAGAGUUUUACUUUAUCAUUGUUUUGGGUGAUCCCUGGCUUGAUGGAUUAAAGCUGGUAUGCGCGGGUCAGGUGUGUUUUCAUCCCAAAGACCGUAAUCGGAAUUAGUCAAUGUCUCAGGGUUGACUAAAGAAAUCCUUUACUUGUGGGUAAAGAGUACACCCUCUGCAGAGUUAUAUCUAUUCGAAUAGCCGUGUCCAUGGUUAAGGACUACAUUCUGGGCUGGUCAAGUGUCGGUCUUAGUGUCAGUCUCCAGAGGAAAUAAUUAAAUUGAUCAUGGUUCGUCCUGCAGGGUAAUUACUGUCACUGUUGGUGCCGUUACGAAUAUUAUUGUUGACAUGAAUAUUGUUGUGGACUAACCGUUUCCUCUUAUGUGCAACUGUGAGCAUCUCUUGGGAUGGCUAGUCCACCUGAAUGAUCAUGUUAUUUUCUUAUAAGCCCUUUAUGAGGCGUCGCUUCAGACACCCGACUGUGGCGUGUAUUUUCAAGACCUCUCGUGGUGUCUCUUGAGUUAUUGGGCGGUCAUGUCUCGCCCGAUUCUCUUUUAGACGCCCGUUUGGCAUUUCUCUUGGAAUUUCUCGGGCGGUCCAACGCCCGACGUUCCCUUUCAUUUCUUUGAUUUACUAAUAACAUGACUUAUUUACCCUUCUGCACCGUAUGAAUAUUUUUCAUGCCAUGCUUUGAAUUCUCAGUCUGCACAUGCGUAUAAUUUAAUUCAUCAUGAGCAUAUGCAUCCGGUAUAUCUUUUGUUCUUGAUGUUUGUGAGUACAUUCAAACGUACUCACUGGCUUGUCCCUGGCUAUUGUCUUGGCCAUAUCAUGACUCAGAGAGGAGCAUUGUGAAGACACCCCGCAACCUAGGAUUUGGAGAUAGCAGCCACGCGAGAUAGGAGUUAUCCAGGUCAGCUGUUCCCGUGGGAAUGGAGUUCCAUCAGCGUUGGAGAUCCACGAGUCGCUUCCAUUAUCUGCCACUAGAAAUCAUUGUUGUACUCAAUGGACCUGUAAGGUCUUGUACUCAAAUCCUUGUAAUUGCUUGUAAUUCUGUAUCAAGGAAAUAUCCACCAACAACAGUAAUCCUCGGGUUGGUGGUCGUUUGCUGGGAAUUUAUGUCCCGGAAAUCUGGCCCCGACAACCUUGGUAUCAGAGCCAGGCUGACCACCGGCUAAUCCUAUCUUAGCCUAAUCACUAUCCCUAGGUUUCCACAUCGUCCAUAUCCUUUCUUAUCCACCAUCAAGCCCAUCCUAUUCGAUAGCCUACACAGUGGCGAGCCGACAUCUUUUUGAUAGUCGGUGCCCAACCUAUCAUCCUAGGCCAUAGGUCGUGCGCCCGUAGCCAGCACCUGAGUUGUCCCAUCCACAAGCGUGCGAUGGAAGACCCCGCUGGCUUAUAAAGGAAGCCUUGCCCCAACUCAACACAUCACAACUCUCACUCGCACUGUGAUUUCCAAACCACCAAGAUGCCUGGUCCCGUCGUCCACAACGAGACCAUCGCAUCCGAGCUUGGAGAUUUCAUAGCGAUCCUCGCCAAUCUCACUCGUCGUGCUUUUGGCAUAGACGAACCCCCGGAGUAUGUUGUGUACCAGGAACACACAAGUGAUGCCAUCCACCACUUCUGGGCCACGGUACACAUCUAUGGGAGGGGCACCACAUCAGAGUGUCCCCGGUUCACCGGAAGGACGACCUCCGAUGAGCCCAAACCAUCCACCUUGCAGCCCGAGAGGGUAUAGUUCAUCUUCGGCAUUUGUUGCCGAGGGUUAACACCCGCCCUUUCUUCUACUACCCUAGUCGUGCAGGCUAUGGUAGCCCAACCCAAGUCGCCAACGGUGACCAUGAGUCGGAUCCUUCUCUAGUGCAUAUGGUGCGCUACCUGAGAGCGCAAGAGGCACUACUCGAUCAGGUCACUAAUGACCUGAUUGCGACUUGCAGGACGCUUACUCUCCUGACACCGGACGGCCACCGUCCGUACCUAACCGCGUCGGCCACUCCUACCUUGCCAUUGCCCGUGCUUUUCCAUCAAUGGCCGCCGUCGACGUGUUCAACUUUGGAACCCGCGGCACUGCCCUCCCCUCCCUAUAAAAAGCCACCCAAGGCCCUCGAACAACACCAUCUCACUCUCCCUCUCCCUCACUGACCCACCCGUUGCAGCAACACAACCAGAGGAGGUCGUCUUCUUCGAUUCCGGUAAUUACUGCCGCCACCACUGUUCGGAUGGUUCCGACGCCGUUCGGCCCUCCCUGUCACAGGUUUCUCCACCACUAGCCUCCUUGAGCACCCAUUGAUCCAUCCCCGCACUCGAUUUUGCCCGAGAGCCACCAUAGGCGAAACGCCCAAUUCGUCUCCGCCAGCGACUCCCUCCACUCCAGCGACCAAGGAGGGUACCCACGUGUUCGCCUCAACCUCCUGAGCUCGUAGGUGGCCUCAGUUUUCCAAACGGUGCCGCCGUUCGCCGGCGCCGACUGCCGAAGCUCCGCCUCUGUUCGGCCGGAGAAGGAGGCACGCACGUGGACUGGUCAAACCUGACCAGUGGGCCCGGCGGGCCCACUGUCAGUGACACAACGCCGUGGGUUCCGUUGAAGUUGCUUUCCUGCGGGGAAAGCGUAUUAUGGCGAGUGCGCCUUCGACGUCGCAGCCCUCCCACGCGGUCGAGCGAUUGGGCUUGGCCCAGUACCGCCAGGCGUCUAUACCGCGCCUAGGGCGCGUUUCUGCUCAGCCCAUCACAGUAAUAGCUGUUCUCUUUUUCUUUUCCAGAAGAUUUCAAAUAAAUCCACAGCAUCCAUUUCACAUCCAAAUUUGAUGAUUGAAAUUUCUGCCUACUCCUAAAAUCACGCUCUAUUUAUCCAGAUAGGGUGAACAUUUUUUCCUAGUCCUGGUUUUUCCUGGAUCUACUAAAUAGUCCAUUUUCCUUUAAUAUUCUAGCUUAGUAAAUCCAUAGGAAAAUCAUAUAAACUUCAAAUGACUUGAUUCUUUUUAUGUUAUCUCUCAAAUUUCAUCUAGUUUAUUUUAGUAUUUAUUUCACAAAUUUCCAAACAACUUUUAUGUACUAUUUUGGAAUUAUGUGGUAAUUAAAAUAUUUUGAAAAUAGGAAAUGGAGGGGAGAUAUGAUUUUCAAGUUUUAGAGUGCACCCAACAUCUCUGCAUGCUCAAGGCAAGCAUCUUGAACACAUGAUAUGGUGAAUGCAU